rnacentral:rRNA from 1 species
AUUGAACGCUGGCGGCAGGCCUAACACAUGCAAGUCGAGCGAGCGGCGGACGGGUGAGUAAUGUCUGGGAAACUGCCUGAUGGAGGCGGAUAACUACUGGAAACGGUAGCUAAUACCGCAUACCAUCAGAUGUGCCCAGCUGGGAUUAGCUAGUAGGUGGGGUAAUGGCUAACCUAGGCGACGAUCCCUAGCUGGUCUGAGAGGAUGACCAGCCACACUGGAACUGGAGCACGGUCCAGACUCCUACGGGAGUCAGCAGUGGGGAAUAUUUCACACUGGGCGCAAGCCUGAUGCAGCCAUGCCGCGUGUAUGAAGAAGGCCUUCGGGUUGUAAAGUACUUUCAGCGGGGAGGCGUUACCCGCAGAAGAAGCCCCGGCUAACUCCGUGCCAGCAGCCGCGGUAAUUC